rnacentral:rRNA from 1 species
AUUGAACGCUGGCGGCAGGCCUAACACAUGCAAGUCGAGCGGAUAAAGGGAGCUUGCUCCUGUCUUAAGCGGCGGACGGGUGAGUAAUGCCUAGGAAUCUGCCUGGUAGUGGGGGAUAACGUCCGUAAACGGGCGCUAAUACCGCAUACGUCCUGAGGGAGAAAGUGGGGGAUCUUCGGACCUCACGCUAUCAGAUGAGCCUCGGUCGGAUUAGCUAGUUGGUGGGGUAAAGGCCUACCAAGGCGACGAUCCGUAACUGGUCUGAGAGGAUGAUCAGUCACACUGGAACUGAGACACGGUCCAGACUCCUACGGGAGGCAGCAGUAGGGAAUAUUGGACAAUGGGCGAAAGCCUGAUCCAGCCAUGCCGCGUGUGUGAAGAAGGUCUUCGGAUUGUAAAGCACUUUAAGUUGGGAGGAAGAGCAGUAAGUUAAUACCUUGCUGUUUUGACGUUACCAACAGAAAAAGCACCGGCUAACUUCGUG